UCCUCAGGGAUCUAGAACUAGAAAUACCAUUUGAGCCAGCCAUCCCAUUACUGGGUAUAUACCCAAAGGACUAUAAAGCAACUGCUUUCUAAGUGGGAUGGCUGAAGCAAGAGACCUUAAAUCACUUGACCGUCUUCACAAAACAGAACUGAAGCAGAACCAGAAGUCCCCUGAUAGCCUUUCAGGGACACCACCUACAAAUACACCGUAAUCCCUCAUACUCCACACGCCACUUCAGGGAAAGGGACAUGAGGCAGGAAUACAAAUAUAUACCAUCUGUGACACUUCCUAAGCUCCUGGCUUCAGAGUAGCCAUCCUGAUAAUUAUUAUUUAAAGUCCACAUUAUAAAUGUGCAAGUUAAGUGAGUUAUGGAAAUCAUUCCAGAUACUGGUUCACCAGUAACAUCAGUUUAGCCCUAAAUAUUGUCAUAAGUUCUCUGAUAGGCGCAUGUGAUUUAAGCUGGUGCUCUGUCAAGACUAGACUUAGGCGUUUUAUCCUUUUUAUGACAUUAUGUAUGUUGAAGAGAAUAUAUGAAUAUAUAUAAAACCUUCAUUAUCACAUUAUUCUCAAUCCAGCAUUUUCCCAGCCCCUGAUUUUCAUGUUAGUUCAGCAUUCUUACAUCUUUACAGAUUUUCAUCUAAGACUACAUUUCUACUGUUUUAUAUAAUCAGCCCCCCUAAGAUCAACAUGUCCACAUUUUUUGGCAAAGACAAAGCCUACUGAUUUCAGAAUCAUUAUUUUCCUUUUUCAAAAGCACAAACCCAAACUGAGAAAUAAAUCAAGAGAAAUUCUCCUUUUUUCUAUGCUAAUUUAGAAGUGGAGUCUUUAUUUCUUUUCAAACCCAAAGAGAAUCAGACAUACAAUAUGAAUUUAUCUACUUUCACUUGCUCAGACUGAGAGGAAAGAUUAAUAUUUUCAGGCUGUUAGUCAAAACUGUUCAUUCAAAUAUUAUUUAAUAAAAUCCAAGAACCAGCUAAAAAGUCGCUUAAGCUAAGAAACCUUCACCAGCCUCAUGGGAAAUUGUGUACAGUUUUCCACUAGAAUAGCCUAUAAAUGCUUACUGAAAAUGUCUAAGUUCAUAUCUUGGUAACUAACAUUUUAAUUCAAUCUGCAGAAUAAUAUAUGCUUCUUUAGUGCUAAGAUAUGAAUAUUAGAGGCAUUCUUUCUUAAAAUUUCUAUUUAGUUAUACUUUCACAAAUAACUAUAUAAUAUUAAAAUUCUGCAUGUGGCAUAAAACAUAUUUUAAUGGAGAAGGUAAUGUGUAGGGAGUUUAUUUCUGUUUGCUAUUAGAACUAGUGUUUAUUCUUGGUUAAAAAAACUGCAGAUUACAACAUAGAAAAAAACAAAAGUAUGUUGUAUAUCUCUUACAGUAGAAGAUAAAGAGUAGUUCUAAAUUUAGAAAGGAAAAAUAAAUAUACACAGUGAAAAUAUGUGUCAGUGAGAUGUUAAUCAAAGAUCAACUAUUGCUGAGACCAGCAAUAUUAAAUCCCUGCACAAUUACUCAUAUUAUAAUGAGAAUUUUAAAAAGAAAAUAUGAACACAUAACAUAAUGAAGGCAGAAGUCACUCUCAUCCUUCAUCUUUGUAUUCCCAAUUCAGGAAGCUGGUAUAGUAUCUUCAUUAUAAUUACUAUUCAACAAACAUUUGUAAAAUGAAUGAAUAAGGAAUGAAUGAUGAGAAAAAUGAUAAACAUCUCCCUCUGUCUCCUGGGAGUUAACUGCACUACUUUCUUUUAAAUUUAAUUAAUCCUCCAUGUCCUUGUAAAAUAGCCAAAGGGAAAAUGUAUUUACAUUACUCUAAAUAUUGAUGCAAUCUACAAAAAGUGUUAAACAACUUCCUCAAAGUAAAUAAAAUGUUCACAAUCCAGCUAGGAUAAAAGGAUUUAAAUCAUUUCCUAGGUAGAGGGCUUUCAAUUAGAGCCCCUGCUGCAUUAAUCAUGGGAACUCAUCUCACUCUCUUCAUGAUGGAGCCCUGAGUGUUGCUGCUAAUCUGUACUCUACCAUUCUAAUGCUUUUAAGGUUCCUUUUCAGCCCUUCCUCCUCGUAAUCCACAAAUACUGAGACCAAGGCAUUUUUUGGGUCAGUCCUAAUUUCAAGCAUUCUAUCCUGCCCUCCCCAAAUGAACUCACACUUAUUAGACCAUAUGUUCCUAUAUUAGUUCAGGAAGGGGGAAAAAAUGUUAAUCACACUUGUAUAUAAGAGAUCAUAGAAAAACAGUUUACUAACCUGUGAAAAUACCAUUCAUUCUCUGUUUACCUCUGGUCCACAGCUAAGCAAUCAGUAGGAUAUAAAUGUACCCUAUGUUCACUAUUCAGUAUUCAUAAGUAUACUACUUAUGAAUUGGAAAUCUGACACAACAUUUACAUGACCUAAUUUUGAAAAUUUAAAAUAGUGUAAAGCCCCUAGGCUUAAUUUUACAGGGGAAAGAUUAAAGGGACACAAGCAAACAUAUAUUCUCUCUCUGUGCUGUGGGACACUAGUAAUUUUUUGACUUAAAAUAUUUGAUACUUAAAAUGCCAAACUUCUACAUUUCUGCAGUAACAAGGCAGUUAUCAUAUUGAAUACCAUUUCUUUCUCUCCAGUAAGUAGAGUUAAUAUUAGCACAUGAACUGAAAAUAUUAAGUGAUUAUAAAAACGUCCAAAUAAAUUCAUUAAAAUUUAGCUUGGCAAAAUGUUAGUUUCAUGUUCUUGGUAGAAGUCCUUUUAUAUUUAUAUUCAAAUGAAAUGAACAAUUUACAAGCAAAGGAAAUGGCAUCAAAUAUUUCACACCCUGCCUCCCAAGGUGUAUUGAUUCAUGCUUUUUGCUCAGAUCUAGGUUUCUCCACUCAGGAAAAGAGGAGAAUGUACCCAUACUUGGGAAAACAAGUUUCCGAUGGCACAGCUUUGAUCAAACAGCAAAAUUCUAUCCAUCUAUGUAUUGCCAUCUGACAGUAUGACAAAUGGUCCCAUGUGCGAUAUUCACACUGCAUUGCAGUCAAACCUGCAAGCUGAAAAAGUAGAACGGGGUGUAGAGAGACAGGACAAAGUACAGAUUAGGGCUUGAAGUGCCCCUGACCAGUCGACAGCAACCACAUGGAAUAAUGACUCAUGUGCAUUAAUGAUCACACUAAAUGAUAUUUGUUUUUUACCUAGUCUUUCAACUGACAGCUUAAAGAACUUCAGGUUGUUCUGAUUCUUGAGCCUCCUCUACAGCUUCAGAGAGGACUUUCAUUUUAUUUUGGAUCAAAUGCUCCACAACUAGUUGAAACUGGAAUUAAAUUUUAUAUGAAGUUCCUAGAUGAUUUAAAGCUGUAAGAAGAAGAAUAAUGAAUCAUAAGAAAACUUGCUGCUACAGAUAUCAAAAAGGAAUGUUACCAUCCCUCAUGCUAAUCCUUUUCAUUUUAAAUAAACAGGAUCUAAAAAAAAUAAUGCUGGGAAGUCCUAACCACAUCAAGAAUGCCUCAGAUCAGUGACCCAAGGAACCUUCCAGAAUGGAUGAAAUAGACCCAAAGCUGAAUUCACCUAAUUUUAGGGCCAAAAACCCAAAAAACAAAACAAGACCAAAAAAAUCUUCAGAUACUGGGAGAACAAAUCUCAAUUGCUCAAUUGUAUCUUAUGAAAACAAUUUUUCAAAAUAAAACAAGAGAUAUUUAAGAUUCAUUAAGUUCUUGUCAUUUCAAAUUUUAAGAAAAAUAUUUUCUAAUGGAAUUACAUAUAUUUAUAUGAUUCUUCUAGUUAUAUCCAUGGUAAUAAAUACUCUUUUCAGUUGGAAAUAAAACCCAUUUGUGCUAUAUUAUUAGGGAAAAUAUCUACAUAAAUUAGUUUUUAAUUUAACUAAAGUCUAUCUUUUGAAUUCAUAAGCAUAAAAUUUUAACCACUUGCAAAAUUUAUAACACACUUAAGGUAGUCAGAUGCCUUGUCAAGUAGUUUAACAAAAGUGAUUUUCACCUGUUUGUUUUAAUAACAGUGCAUCGAUUUUAUGAAAAUCAGGCAUGCCCUCGGGUCCUAACAAAGUAUACGAAGCUGAAUGGAUCUAUGCCAAAUAUGCCAGAUUUUACUUUCUGAGUCUGAUUUUAUACUUCUGUCCUCUUUCUUACCACAUGGCUUCCAGUAUCACUUACAGACUAACCCUUCAAAAGGAGAAGGCUAAGUUACUAACAUUUGGAAGGCUUAUGAAAGUGAAGCAUAGUUAUGAGCCAGCAAUGUUUUUAUUUAUGGAAUGUGUGCAAACCACACACUUAAGCAAGCUCUGGGGAAUGAGAGUUGGGGGGAAUCAACUGUUUUAUUUGCUAAUUGGUAUUUCCUUUAAAAGAUAGAGUUCUUCCAGAUUUUAACUGUGUUAAUAGUUACUCUAGAAAAAUUGGAGAUUUGUGUGCAUAUAUUUUAUGUUGUAAACAGACACAUACCCAGAGACACUGAGAGAGACAGACAGACAGUAAACAGAGGAGCACUAACCACAAACGGUUUACAAAUGACCUCUGUGCUCAUUCACCUGUCUGUUCCCCACCUUGCCUUUUAUAGCAACUAUAGCAACAGCCAUGAGAGUCAUUGUGGAAAGAAAUAAAAUAAAAUUAAAAAAUCCUGGAAGCUUGUAAAGAAUGUGAGCAAAGGGGAGGAAGUUGU
rnacentral:lncRNA from 1 species